UCACAGAAACCUCUCAAUCAUCUUCAAUCAUCGACUUUUCUUCUCAUUUUUCAUAUCUUUUCUCUCUCUGUUAUCAUAAUCAGUUUUUCAAUCUUAGGGUUUUUCAUCGUCUGUUAAUCUAGUUUAGGAUUUUGAUUUCAUAGAUCUGUACAAGUCUUUCAUCAUCUGUAGGGUUUUAGUUUUUUCGAUUUGUCAUGUAUGCUGAUUUGAAGAUGAUUUGAUGUCAUUGAAGGAAGAUGAAGAUAACUCAUUGACCCAAUUUGGUUUUUUAGACCAUACAAAUCGAGAGAAAAAGGCUUCAGUAAAGAUCAUAGAUCGUCAAAAUGGUUGAUUUGUAGGAGCUGUAGCAGCUUUAGGUGGAGGUGGUUCUGUGGAUUGAGUAGAUUCUGAAGCAGAGGAUGAGAAUGAAGAUGAACCCAACAAAUCAAAACAGAAGUGAAUGAUUAAGAUGAUGAAAAAGAUGAAAGUGGUGGAAUUAUACCAACAGAAUUAGGAAACCCAAUGUCUAUCUUGGAUGGAAUUUUUGUGGCAAUCAAGGAUGAUAUAGACUGAUUAAGAUGAUGAAAAAGAUGAGAGUGGUGGAGUGGUGGAAUUAUACCGACAGAAUUAUGUGAGGAAACCCAAUGACUAUCUUGGAUGGAAUUUUUGUGGCAAUCAAGGAUGAUAUAGACUGCUCUGCAUACCCAUCUGGUAAGCUUUCAUCAGUGUGUAGUGUUGUAUUGAUACGUAGAGCGAGUUGUUGUUUGUUUGUCUAACUGUUAUACCGUUGGACUUUGUUCGAAGUUUCUCACUAAACUAUAACCACAAGUGCGACAACAUGGUUCCACGAAGUCCGCCCAGUCAAAAUUAAGAAGUUGUGGUGCGAUUCUCAUUGGGAAAGCAAAUAUGCACGAAUUGGACCUUGGAACAACUGGAAAUAAUCCUAAUUAUGGAACAGCGAGAAACCCUCAAUCCCUAGACAGAUAUACUGGUGGAUCUUCCUCGGGUCCAGCAGCAAUUGUAGCUUCUGGAUUAUGUUCGGCCGCACUUGGAACUGAUGGUGGAGGCUCAGUUCGAAUUCCUUCUUCACUUUGUGGUGUAGUAGGCUUCAUAUGGUCGGAAUGACAUGGAAGGGGCAUUAUGUGAUUGCGGGACUGUAGAAAUCAUCAGACCAAUUGCUUCUAAUUGCUUCCUAGUUGAAGAUGUUGUGCUUGUGUGAGUUGCCAAAAUUUUGAAAAAUAGCUUAUUCUCUGAUUGAAGAGCAAGAGGGGAAGGCGAGGACACCAGAUGAUUACAUAUCUUUUGUAACCCUCCUUGCAUAUCCACGUUAUUGUGGCGUAUCAUAUUUUGAGAAGGAAGAAGUGCGAGUUCUAUUAAGGAAGGAUCCUAUAUUUUGGACAUACAGACCAUUUACUGAACAAAUGGUCCGAGCUGCUGCUGAUGAUGUUUGUUUCCUUCUCCAUAUCUACCACAAUAUGAUGACAAAUCUGAACGAUAAAUCUCUAUUGGCAACUUUCAUAUCGGGGAGCACUAUAUUGUCGGUGUUUCUGUGUUAAUGAUAAUGAGUGUGUAGAUUGGCCGCAUGUCCCUCCCAUUCCAGGAUUACAGGAUCAUAUGAUCCCUAUGGUAGACAUGGCAUGACUCUUUGCAGACCGCAGUAUUAUCUUCAUCAUAGUCACUACACCUGCCAUAUAUUAACAUCUGAGAUUGGAACGUACAGCACAGUCAUAUGGAUGUUGACAAGAAAAGGAUGACUUAGUGAGGUGAUCAAAAGAUCAGAACAUAAUUGGAUGCUUCUGCACUUGGUCUAGCUGCACAAACAACAACAUACAAGGCCAGAUUCUUUGUGCAGAAACUGCAAGCGGCCUGGUCAUUAUCCAUAUGAAUAAGUCAGGGAUUACGGAGAACUUGAUGAAGAAUGCUUGGAAACUAUCUGCAAGUUUUGAUAAGUAUCUACAAGUUUUGAGUAAGUUGUAUGUAGUUUUUGAGAUGAAAUUAUACUUGGAAGAAUUGAUGUUCUUUUCUGAUGUGAAUUGAUUGGUUGAAUUUGAA